CCACCGGCGGCCCCCCUGACUCAUGUGAACUGAGCCUUCUAAUUACCGAGGCAGCCAGCCUUCCAGCUUGCUGCCCAGACAGAGCUCUCGCUUUAGAGCCCUCAGUGGUCACCGCUGGCGUCCGGGAGCGGACCCGCACGUCUGCCAAGCCCACUGCCUGAAGCGGCGCUGCCUUCUGCCUCACGAGACGCCGUGCGUUCCUCUCCUGGACGAUGGCUGCUGAGAUGAAACCUUUGAAAACAAAUGUGUGUCGUGUGAAGACGUUGAAGACAACGUCACCGAGCGCGUGAAGUAGGAUUCCUCUUUCUGUUUCAAUCUGUUCGCUGUACUACUGAAAGUGGUUUUAAAAAAAUUUUUUUUCUCCCCUCAAAGAGAGAUGAAACGGCCUUCACUGAGAAAGAGUGACAGUGAUGAAUUGAUGGACCCGUCGCUGCUAGCUCGAAAUCAUUUCCCUUUUUCUUUCCAAGGAAAAUUGAAGAACUGUUUCUACUAGUGAAAAUCACAUUUCUUUUCCAUGAACAUCACAACUCUGUCGUCUGGCGCCCUGCCAGUCCACUGCUGCCAUUGGGCCUGACCCAUCUAUGGCACUGCUGACGCAGCCUCGGCCUGGAGAGAACAGCCCGGAAACCCUCCCUGCAGCUUCUUUCUUCCUUUCAUGAGUGCAGCUGCCGCCGGGCCACGCUGGGACGGAGUACGUGGUGCGAUGGUCUAAUGAUGGUUCCCAGAGAGACCCAGGUCCUAAUCCCUGGGACCUGGGAACGUUCCCCUGGUGACGAGGACUUGGCAGACGUUGUCAGUGAAGGAUCCGGAGCUGGGAUAUUAUCCUGGAGUCUCCGGGUGGGCCCUGGAUUGAACACAGGAGUCCUCACAAGAAGGAGGCAGAGGGGGAGUCUGCCGCAGAGGAGGGCGGUGUGGUGGGAGUUGGCGGUGCUGAGCCGUGGGCUCUGAAGAUGCUCACAGGGAGCAGGAGCCAGGGAUGCAGGGUGCUGCCCUGAACUGGGGCGUGGGCUGUGGGUGCUCCUCUAGAGCCUCCCGAGGGACCGGGGCUGGGACGCGUGGCUUCAGCCCAGUGACGCUGAACUUGCUUCCUGGCCUUCAGAACCGAGUGGUCGUAAGUGUGUGUCGUUUCAGCGCCAUGCUUGUUGGCGCCUGUUACUGCCGCACGGGGGCCGAUGGGCGUGCCGCAUCUCUGAGCCUCUGGGUCCCUUCCUAACUGGCCGUCUGGCCUUUCUGCUUCUCUUCCCGGGGGCUGCCGGGCACCUGCUGUUGGAAGUCUCACGAGCAGUGUGUCAGCAUCAUCCCUGGGUCCCUCCUGCGGGUGGACGUCUGCGAUGGGAGAGUUCUCAGCCUGGUGAACCCCGUCAUGGACGGCACCGUCUGCCUCUCCUGACCCCCUCCAGAUCCAGCCCUAUGCUCGUCCCACACGACCGCAGGCCCAGGACCUCCGGCCCAGUUUGGCUCCGGUGUAACUGUGGGUACAGGCUGGGGGCUGGAUCGUGGUGGUCGGGGAGAGGCCUCUGACUCCUCUUCAUCAAAGGGAGAACUGGAGGCCGGGGGAUGCUAGGGUUCCUGGACCGAAGAGCCCGGGACCCUGGACAUGGCCCUGCGCUGGGGACACUGCAGUGCGUGCGGGCAGGACCGAGCCCAAGGUCCACAUGGUCUUGCUGUUGUGUUGUUUUGUUUGUCAUAUACAGUAAUAAAAUCUCCAGCAUGAGGGACACCUCCGUUGAAGUUUACUGAUUGCAUAUAUAAAUAAAUGAAUAUGAGAGAGUAUGUGAGCCACUAUUUACAUAAAGAGACCCUUAAGUGCAUAUUUGGUCUUCCUCAGAAAAUCAUCUGCAAGACUUCUGUUGCCCUGAGCUCACCUCCGUUCAUCACCACGCAUUCUGGAAUUAAAAUUCCUUUCAGCACGUAGAGGAGCACUUCCAAACGAAACAAAAGGCACGACCAACUCGGCGGUGUGCUUUCGGGACAUGUUUACCAAGCACUCAGCUUAAAAACAGUGGUGAAGUCUGAAGGCACAUUAGAAUGGAGAUCUGAACAGAAGGAUAGAGGGAAAACCCCAAAACUAAAAAGGUCUGUUUCUGAGGUGACGAGAAUUGUCACAGCCUCUGGACAAGAGAAGAAGACAGAUUCCUCUGACGAGCGAGUGGAAGGGCUGUUCUGCUGUACGUGUUUUUGGCUUUUUUGUGCAGCAUCUUCAUUCUCUGACAAUAAAUGCUGUCAGAACAGUGUUACUGUUCUUCCUACAAAUGUGUCCCCUCCGGGCCGUGAGGGCGGAAUGGAAAUGAUGCAGCGUUGAUCUGGAUCAGGGCUUCCCACACGACAGCCCCGUCUCAUCGGAGCAGGGGGUCGUCCAGCGCGGGCUGUGCAGGUCUGGGACGAGGUCUGGGACGAGGUCUGGCACAGACGCAUCUCACAAGCCCCCAGGCCAUGCGGCCAGGUCGCCGUGAGGACCACUGGUGAGUCCCGUGCGAUCCUCCAGCCCGAACUGGCCUUCGGAGCACUUCCAUGCUGCACUGGGAGACUGUCCCCAUCCUCUCUCCCCCAUGGGACCAGCACCGAGGGCAGACACGUUGUCCUAACAUCCCACAGAGUCCGCGUCUGACUCACAGGUGUUAAACAGCGCUGAUGGGAGAUUUCAAAAGUCACCGAAAGAAUUUUGGAAGAGAAGUAUCUAGCGGACAACGAUCCUUGGAAAUACCACCUUAACAAUUUUUAAGACUGUGUUGGUAACUGAAGCAGACUCACUCUUGUUUGGGAAAUUGAAAUAUGUUCUAAUGAGAAGCAGAGUUGCUUAGAGAAUUAUUAAAAAUAGAAGCAAGACAGUCAGAGGUUACGUCAGGCACAUCGCCUACUGCGAACUGCGCGGGAGGAAGGCGGCGACGCUGCGAGAUUUGAUCUGUGAGACGGCCAGUUUCCUCGGCUGAAGGCUCUAAAUGUCUUUUCUCUUUUUCUUCUGGACCAAAAUUAUCUGUUUCUUGAGCUUUGAGGGCUCAAUAAAAUAAUUCAUUAAUAUUAAAAUCUGGUUUACAUCAACAUGCUAUGAAAACCAAGCAUGCACCUUCUUUAGGUAACUGUAAAGCAGUUCACACCUCAGAAACAUUUAUUUUAACAGAAACAAGAUAUUGAUGGAAAACAGCUGGAGUAGAAAAUGCACCCUGGACUUGGCAGAUGACUGAGCUGAUAGCGGUGGGGUUUGGAGAGGAAGGGAAGUGAGGGAAGGUUCUCGCCGAGAUAUGAUUAAACGGCGCAGAGCAUGGCAUUUAGAAAAAUACUGAGUCAUCUUCCUGGGACUUUUCAGAUCCACACGUAUAAAGGAAUAGAAUAAACACUCAUCCUUCCGUGAGCUGGUCUCAGCGACCUCUGACCUCGGCGGGGACGAGGGCCGUUUGGGGUGGCGGAGGAGACGCUGCUCGCAUGGGCAGGUUCCCACCGGGACCGCAGAGCCUCACGUGGUGGGCAGGACGCGGAAGGGACAGGAGGGCAGUUCUUUCGUUUCACGGGAUGCAGUCAUUGAACCUCCUGUUUUUCUUUUCAUUUUUAUUGACAUAUAAUUGACAAAUAAAAAUUACCCACACGGAAACCUCCUUGUGCAUUAACCUGACUGCCAGCAGCCUCGAAGAGCCUUCAUCCAGCGGCAGGUGCUGGCUCUGUCUUGUACGACCCUCACACAGUCGCGCAGUCACGCACGUGCCACGGAGACCACACCGGCAAGUCUCCCGUGUCCUGCUUCCCUUCUCCUCACCCCUCCUUCCCCUGUUUCUGCUCAUGAUUCUUGUCCUGACAUUGACCGCUGAAUAACGUUGUAACAUAUAGUCCUGUUUUUAUUCUCUCGCACCCUUGCUUCAUACUGCAUGAGAAUUAAGUUUCCAAAGAUACGUUCUCUCUCUCUUAAAAAUCUGCUUCUACUCUUGUACGUUCAGUUUAAUCACGAGACCUCCCGAGCAGGUGCGCGGAGUCCCCACCUCUCGUGUUCACCUGCUUUCUCAUGUGCUCCUUCCGGCCAUCUGGGCUGGCUUUCUAAUACAGAGAGAGCAUGAGUAAACACAAGCAAUGAUGCCACGUGCUAAGAGUUGUAUAGAACUGAAGAUAAUCAUUUACUCUGCAUUUUUCAAAUGCAAUCUCUCCCUGACCUUCCUUUGAUUUAAAUAGUAUUUAGACGCAGUGACACUCAGCAUACCUCAAAUUCACCAUUAUUAUUGCUUUGUUUACCACAGGUAUUGUCAUUGACUCUGGUUUUCUGUCUUGAGAUUCAGGAAGUCAAUUAUUAUUAAACAAGUAAGAACAAUGGAUGGGUUUAAUGAAGAGGUGACCCUGAGUUGACAGAGUGUGGAUUUCUACCCGCUGCUGUGAAAACCACAGGGUGCGGCAGGCCGGGCGUGAGCACCCUGGGCAGCUGCAGGAAGGUGACUCUGUUAGGGGCUCCCCGGGUCUGGAGGUACAAAGUGAUUUCUUUUCACCGUCCGCCUUGGGAAAGUAAAUUCCACAGCACACUGCAGACUCCAGCUUAUUAUCUCCAAAUACCAUUUGAAAAUAAGUGAUCAGCACUGUGGAGUCAUUAAAUAUACACAAUUGGAAGAUUGAGCUUAUAAUCUAUGGGAAGGACUUGGAAUAUAUCGCCUCAUUAUUUUAUUUUAUAGCCAAAGACAUAACUUGCAUUCUGUUUCAGUGAACAAUGAGCAUCAGGCCCUGACAGAAUUACCUCAUUUCUUUUUUAUGCUUUCUCAAUAUAGGCAAAUGCAUUACAAACUCUAAUUUACUCUGACCCAGAAAUGGCUCUGUGGCAUAUUUCCGCAGGCCCUUGUGUGCACGAAACAGGAAGUCAUUCAUCAUAGGAUUAUUUUGUCUUAUUUUUAAAAAAUCAUUGUUUAUAUUCCCCAAAGUGAAA